rnacentral:misc_RNA from 1 species
ACUCUUCAACCCACCGGUUCCUUGUUGAACCGAGCUGGUGUUUGGAUUUUGAGCGUCUGCUUUUCAUUAAGCUCGCUCGUAAUACAUUAGCAUCUCAAUUUCGUAAUCGGAUUGACUCAGCGUAAUAGACUAUUCGCUGAGGACACUACUUGUAGUGGCCGAGAAUGAAAAAGUUAGAAGCUUCCAACCCUUCUAGUCAUUUUUGA